CUCAACACCACAUUCGCAUACGGAAUGAUCUCGGAUCCGUAACUUAGCCAGAAAAACAGGGGAGCACACGUGACCCAGACGGAGACGGAUAAUCACAGAGAAAAUGUCUCCCAUGAGCACAAUUUUUGCAAGAGGAGACUGAAUGAAGACCAUUCCUACACCAAAGUUGAAGUUCCAGAGAAACGUACAAGAGUCGAAAGUGAUGCACCCAUUGACUCCACCCCUCGACGCCCUAGACGAAGAAGGCGUGUGAUUGUCACGAAAAAAUCUCUGACAUCAAUUUGUGCAAGAAUUAGUAAGCUUCCAGCAUACGGCAUUCCCGCUGGCUUCAGCACCUGGAUAUCAGACUUCCUGAGUGAGCGAUCGAUAAGAGUAGUCAUUGACGGCGGCUCUUCUGACCUUAUCGCUA